CAGUAGCCGCGGUAAUACGAAGGGUGCAAGCGUUACUCGGAAUUACUGGGCGUAAAGCGUGCGUAGGUGGUGGUUUAAGUCCGUUGUGAAAGCCCCGGGCUCAACCUGGGAAUUGCAGUGGAUACUGGGUCACUAGAGUGUGGUAGAGGAUAGUGGAAUUUCCGGUGUAGCAGUGAAAUGCGUAGAGAUCGGAAGGAACAUCUGUGGCGAAGGCGACUAUCUGGGCCAACACUGACACUGAGGCACGAAAGCGUGGGGAGCAAACAGGAUUAGAUACCCCUGUAGUCCCUGUCUCUUAUAC
rnacentral:rRNA from 1 species